rnacentral:tRNA from 3 species
GGACAGGUGGCCGAGUGGCUGAAGGCACCGGUCUCGAAAACCGGCAUACCGGCAACGGUAUCGUGAGUUCGAAUCUCACCCUGUCCG